GACGAACGCUGGCGGCGUGCUUAACACAUGCAAGUCGAACGGAAAGGCCCUGCUUUUGUGGGGUGCUCGAGUGGCGAACGGGUGAGUAACACGUGAGUAACCUUCCCUUGACUUUGGGAUAACUUCAGGAAACUGGGGCUAAUACCGGAUAGGAGCUCCUGCUGCAUGGUGGGGGUUGGAAAGUUUCGGCGGUUGGGGAUGGACUCGCGGCUUAUCAGCUUGUUGGUGGGGUAGUGGCUUACCAAGGCUUUGACGGGUAGCCGGCCUGAGAGGGUGACCGGCCACAUUGGGACUGAGAUACGGCCCAGACUCAUACGGGAGGCAGCAGUGGGGAAUAUUGCACAAUGGGCGGAAGCCUGAUGCAGCAACGCCGCGUGCGGGAUGACGGCCUUCGGGUUGUAAACCGCUUUCGCCUGUGACGAAGCGUGAGUGACGGUAAUGGGUAAAGAAGCACCGGCUAACUACGUG
rnacentral:rRNA from 1 species